rnacentral:rRNA from 1 species
UGGAAGUAAAAAGUCGUAACAAGGUCUCCGUAGGUGAACCUGCGGAGGGAUCAUUACACAAUAAAAUACGAAGGCCGUUCGCGGCUGGACUAUUUAUUACCCUUGUCUUUUGCGCACUUGUUGUUUCCUGGGCGGGUUCGCUCGCCACCAGGACCACAAUAUAAACCUUUUUUAUGCAGUUGCAAUCAGCGUCAGUAUAACAAAUGUAAAUCAUUUACAACUUUCAACAACGGAUCUCUUGGUUCUGGCAUCGAUGAAGAACGCAGCGAAAUGCGAUACGUAGUGUGAAUUGCAGAAUUCAGUGAAUCAUCGAAUCUUUGAACGCACAUUGCGCCCUUUGGUAUUCCAAAGGGCAUGCCUGUUCGAGCGUCAUUUGUACCCUCAAGCUUUGCUUGGUGUUGGGCGUUUUUGUCUUUGGCCCGCCAAAGACUCGCCUUAAAAUGAUUGGCAGCCGGCCUACUGGUUUCGCAGCGCAGCACAUUUUUGCGCUUGCAAUCAGCAAAAGAGGACGGCAAUCCAUCAAGACUCCUUCUCACG